rnacentral:sRNA from 1 species
GCUCCGGCUCCGGCUCCGCCUCCGCCCUGGAACGCAGCGCGCUCCGCCCGAGGCCUCCCGGCGGCCCACGCAGGAAUCGCGGAGCUUAGCUGUCGCCACCUCGCGCCGGGUCCGCGCGGCCCACGGGACCCCCCCUGACGCCCCCGGCCCGCGGUCCACAUGGACGUGCGGGGCCCUGAAGCCCCCGGCGGGCGCGCGCUGCGGGACCGGCAGAAAAUCUAUUUCAGGAACUUCAGGAACAUUUUCAAGCUCUGACCGCAACAUUAAACCUCAGAAAUAUCCUUUUCUACCUUUAACAAAUGCUAUGAUUCUUUCGGACUGGUAGAUUAUCAUGGAGUAUCUUUUUGUUGUCUGCUAGUAGUAGGUAAUAAUUUACUUAGGAUUUCCCAGUAUUUACUUCUGUGCUUUUAUGUGGCUUCCUGAUGUGUUAAUUACCCCUCACCUGUAGCAAAAGCUCUACCUCCUGCUGGGCACAGUGGCUCACGCCUGUAAUCCAGCACUUUGGGAGGCCAAGGCGGGCGGAUCACAAGGUCAGGAGAUUGAGACCAUCCUGGCUAGCACAGUGAA